rnacentral:piRNA from 1 species
UCCAAGAUUAGCUGUACUCAAUCCAAGGCC